UACAGAGGUCUCAAGCGUUGUUCGGAUUCAUUGGGCGUAAAGGGUGCGUAGGCGGCGCGGUAAGUCGGGUGUGAAAUCUUGGAGCUUAACUCCGAAACUGCAUUCGAUACUGCCGUGCUUGAGGACUGGAGAGGAGACUGGAAUUUACGGUGUAGCGGUGAAAUGCGUAGAUAUCGUAAGGAAGACCAGUGGCGAAGGCGGGUCUCUGGACAGUUCCUGACACUGAGACACGAAAGCCAGGGGAGCAAACGGG
rnacentral:rRNA from 1 species